rnacentral:rRNA from 1 species
AAUGAACGCUGGCGGCAGGCCUAACACAUGCAAGUCGAACGCCCUAGCAAUAGGGAGUGGCAGACGGGUGAGUAACACGUGGGAACCUUCCCUAUAGUACGGAAUAUACCAGGGAAACUUGGAGCAAUACCGUAUACGCCCGAGAGGGGAAAGAUUUAUCGCUAUAGGAUGGGCCCGCGUAGGAUUAGCUAGUUGGUGAGGUAAUGGCUCACCAAGGCGACGAUCCUUAGCUGGUGAGAGAACGACCAGCCACACUGGGACUGAGACACGGCCCAGACUCCUACGGGAGGCAGCAGUGGGGAAUAUUGGACAAUGGGCGCAAGCCUGAUCCAGCCAUGCCGCGUGAGUGAUGAAGGCCUUAGGGUUGUAAAGCUCUUUUGCCGGGGACGAUAAUGACGGUACCCGGAGAAUAAGUCCCGGCUAACUUCGUGCCAGCAGCCGCGGUAA